rnacentral:rRNA from 1 species
UGAGGAAUAUUGCACAAUGGGAGCAAUCCUGAUGCAGCGACGCCGCGUGCGGGAUGAAGGGGCUUAGCCUCGUAAACCGCUGUCGGAGGGGACGAAUGGUACAUUUGAUGUAUUGAGACGGUACCCUCAAAGGAAGAAUCGGCUAACUACGUG